CCGCGGAAUUGUGAAUUUGUGGUUCUUCUAGGUUCAUAGAGUAUUGUUUAUUUACACUUUUACGUUGAGUUGACUUUGUGUCGAAACCUAAUAAAGUAAUUUAAAAGUCGAAACUAAAAAGGAAACUGGCACCCUACAGGGCCGCCUCUGUGAGGCAGCUUGAGAUUCUCUUAGAAGUUGCUGAAAGCAACUCAAAUAUUGCACUCGGUGGGCUCGGUGGAGGACCUCUCGGCCGCCAGGUAGCUCUUAAAAAUGGGAAGAGCUUUCCAGAAAGCUCAAUUCUGUGGGGGCAGGGUGUAUUAAACCUUCGUGGAGUGGAAGCGAAUUCCUGACCUGCCUACUCAACCAAGUACAUCUACAUGUACAUCACCAAUACGAGAAAUCAUUAUUGAUGAGCAGCUAUACAACUAUACAACAAACAGAGGAGCCUUCACAAAUAGAAGCUACACAUAACCCGCUACAUAUUUCACUAGCAUUAGAAGUUUCUCAGUCUGUCUAUCAUGUUGAUACUGAGAUACCAGAAGUUAGCACACCAACCAGCACACAGCACCGUCAGCCUUUAAGAAGUAAUAAACUUAUCCAAAUAUAUUUGAAACCUUUUCAUAGCCAUUGUUCACCUAACAACUAUCAUUUUUUUAAAUUCCAUUAAUAACAAGAUAAUAUUAAGAUAAGCCUUUAUUAACUGAAUUGAAUUACAUUAAUGCUAUGUACAUGAUAUAUUUCAAAUAAAUAAAUAAUAUUUUAGUUUU